ensembl:lncRNA
CCCUAUGAGGAGCCGCUGAAAGAGCUGGGCAUGUUUAGCCUGCAGAAGAGAAGGCUGAGUGGAGACAUGAUGAGGGCCAUGUAUACAUAUGUGAGGGGAAGUCAUAGGGAGGAGUAAGCAAGCUUGUUUUCUGCUCCCUGGAGACUAGGAUGCGGAACAAUGGCUUUAAACUACAGGAAAGGAGAUUCCACCUGAACAUCAGGAAAAACUUCCUCACUGUGAGAGCUGUUCGGCAGUGGAAUUCUCUCCCCCCGACUCUAUUAUUCUAUGAUUCUAUGGGGAAUACCACUGCUUUAAUGAUGUUGACCUUCAUUCCCAGUGUGAUGUCUCUGCUCUUCACUAUUUUAUAGAGGUUGGCCAUUGCUCUCCUCCCUAGAAGUAAGCGUCUUCUGAUUUCCUGGCUGCAGUCUGUGUCUGCGGUAAUCUUUGCGCUUAGAAAUAUAAAGUGUGUCACUGCCUCCAGAUUUUCUUCCUCUGUUUGCCAGUUGUCAGUCAGUCUGGUUGCCAUCAUCUUGGUUUUCAAGAUGUCCAACUGCAGCCCAGCUUUUGCACGUCCUUCUUUCCCCUUGGCGAUAAAACUCCUCAGCUCCUCCUCGCUUUCAGCAUGAAUUCUACAGAGGUGAAAUCUCCGCGCGAUCCGCUAGAGGUCGCUGUUGCAGAGGCCAAGCCCGGCGAGAAGGGGGACUGGCUUGGGACCGGCGCCUGGGGGGGGGGGGGGGGGAGUCCGCCUGCCUCCGGUGGCUCUUGGCUCCUGCUCGCCUUUCUGGCGCACCUUUCUGCCUGGAAGCCGAUGGGCAAGGCUCGCCCGGGGGCACCGAGGGCCACGGCGGUCCUAUGCCUUAAGCCCAUGGAUAAUUCAAAUCUUUCAAGAGGAUUUCAAAUGGAUUGAGGCACCCAUAUUUCUAAGGAGCAGGUAGGCAUUCCUUUGAAAUCUGUGUGAGUGGUUGUAACCAGUGUAAUUCUAGAAAGUAGGAUCAUGCUUCAGCAUCUAUUUAUAUUUGCAGUACACCUAGGGUCUGCAUUUAGAUCUAUUUUAGAUUAUAUGCUAAAUUGCAUAUUACAUGAAACACCAAGGGAGAAAAAUAACUGAUGUAGAGCUCCGAAAGAUUAGCCACCUUGAGUGAUAUGGCAUAAUGUUAUAUAUUGGCAAUCCAGAAUGAUGAAGGUUAUUAUGCUUAAUACUGUUAGAUUGGAUGUGAACAAGCUUUGGAGGACAAUUCUUUGCAUUAAGGACUUUUGACUUUGUGGUUAUCCAGAUUUUAAUCUUGGCCUUUCCCCCCCUUUUCUGGUGAUUACCAUCUAGUGAUAAUUAUACCUGGUGCUUGUUAUUGUAAUGGAUUUCUAUCCCCAUGUUAUUUGAAAACCCAAUUUUGUUACCUUUGCUUCACUUUUUUUAGUUAUUCAGGCAUUCUAGAAGCAAGGGCACACUGGGAAAUGACUUCUUGGUCCUUAUCUUUCCUUUUUCCAUAGGAAAACAUGCUAAUUUAAAUGUUGGGAGACUGUGUCAGGGUCUCCAUGGAAGAUGUGUUUUCCAGUCCAGUAUUAACUGAGCACAAUCUAAGGUCUUAAAUUUAAAAAACAGUGAUCCCUUGUUUAUCAAGAAAGGGUGAGACCUACGCUGCAUCUACACUGUAAAAUUAAUGCAGUUUGACACCACUUUAACUACCAUGGCUCAAUGCGAUAGGAUCAUGGGACCUGUCAUUGUAAAACGACAGUACCCAUGAUUCAAGGAGUGCUGGUGUCAUGAUUGCCAUACCAUUGUGCCAUCGUAACUAGAAUGAUGCCAAACUGCAUUAAUUUUACAGUAUAGAUUCACCCUUAGAGUUCCUGAUAGUAGUAAUCCUCAUUGUGCCUCCAAAAUAAAAAAAGUUACCAUUGAUGAUUGUCAAAAGUAUUAAAGAAUGUGUGGGAAUUAUAUGUCUUUCCAGAUGUGCUUGGACAUUUAAGUCUCAGUAAUCUUAACCAACAUAGCAUAUCUCAGUCCAUCCCAAUUGAGCAGAGACAAUCUGAUUAAUACUCUGCUAUUCUACUUUUUCAGCUGCUUUUCAAAUAUCCCAGAUUCCUUUUCUACCUCCCACUUUCUCCUUUUGUCUCCAGCUUCAUCCAAAGUGUGAAAAUAGUUUGUACUCAGUUAACUCAGCAAGGAUGAGAAGAGAGAAGUAUCUUCCUCUUCCUAAGAAGCUCAGACAAAAGCAAACAUCUGUAGCCUCUCCUAGCUUGUAUAUUCCUUCUUAUUAAUAACUUUUGCCAUUUUGUCCACAUUCUGAUGUUGCUUGGCCACAAGUGUCCAGGUUUUAUUUGUGAAAUGCUGGGAGAUAUGAUAAAGCCAGUGCUGAGAUUUGCAGACCAAAAACAUCAGGAGGGCAACGUAAUUCCCACCUCAGCAGCCAUGAGUGUAACCAUAUUUUCAAAAUCUGUGUGUAUGUUGUAUGCCUUCAAAUUGUUUCUUAUUUAAAUUGACUCUAUCACAAGAUUUUCUUGGAAAGAUUUAUAUGGAUGAGAUUUCCUUUCACCUUCCUCCGAAGCUGAAAAACUGAUUUCCUUAAGGUCCAUGCCUAAGCAGGGGUUCUGACCCUGGAGACCAGAGUUGUAGUCCAGCACUUAAACCUCUACACGACACUGGGUUUCACUUGCAAAAUAUCAGAGCUAGCAAGUUUUUCUUGGAGCCAAACUGAAAGGAAGGAAGAAAUACUCAAGUAUGCUGGUGAUAAAAGGUUGGAAACAACUUUUGCAGCACCAUGAUGUCAAUUCUGAAUCUGUUCAGGUGCAGGUGCUUUUUUCACAGCCGCUGAAGGCAAAUACUUGGACAUUAUGUAUGGGACUCCACUGACGACAAGAGCCCCAUGUUAACCUGAAUCAAGGAUCACUGGGCUGUGUCAAAGAAACAACCUUGAUUUGAAAGAUACAUAAGCUUCAUUAAUUUCAGAGUCAUUCAGCCUGUCCCCAGUUUCUAUAAAUCUGAUUUAAUCACAUUUUUUUAUUAAAGUUGGAUAAGAUCAUGUAGGAUCUCUGUCACCCCAAAAUGACUCUACUUUCCAUGCAGAUAACUCAGCUCAUGUCCAAUAUACAAGUUCAAUUGUGUUGGGGUGCCAAGUUAAUAUUGUAUUUCCGAAAAAAACAACAACGAAUCUAAGGUCUGUACCAGAUCUAAGGUAAGUAUACAGAAUAAAUGAAUAGAUGUGACUAUGCACUGGUGAAAGAUUUGGUAAACAUCCCCU